rnacentral:tRNA from 1 species
GCCUUGAUGGUGUAGUUGUCAGCAUGCUGGAUGCAUAUCCAAGAGGUCUGUGGUUCAAAUCCCGGUGAGGGCA